CCUACGGGUGGCAGCAGUGGGGAAUAUUGGGCAAUGGGCGCAAGCCUGACCCAGCAACGCCGCGUGAAGGAAGAAGGUGUUCGGGUUGUAAACUUCUUUUCGCAGGGACGCAGCAAGUGACGGUACCUGAGGAAUAAGCCACGGCGAACUACGUGCCAGAAGCCGCGGUAAUACGUAGGUGGCAAUCGUUAUCCGGAUUUACUGGGUGUAAAGGGCGUGUAGGCGGGACUGCAAGUCAGAUGUGAAAACCACGGGCUCAACCUGUGGCCUGCAUUUGAAACUGUAGGUCUUGAGUACUGGAGAGGCAGACGGAAUGCCUAGUGUAGCGGUGAAAUGCGUAGAUAUUAGGAGGAACACCAGUGGCGAAGGCGGUCUGCUGGACAGCAACUGACGCUGAGGCGCGAAAGCGUGGGGAGCAAACAGGAUUAGAUACCCGAGUAGUC
rnacentral:rRNA from 1 species